rnacentral:lncRNA from 1 species
AUUAGAUUAGAUUAGAUUAGAUUAGAUUAGAUACUACUUUAUCUAUCCUUUUGGAAAGGUUUCCAAAAGAAGAAUAUUACUUACCUCUUUGAGCCCUAUGUUCACCAAAGGCACGGGUGGACCGUGUUGGCUUGUGAUCUGCAUGAUUUUACUGAUCUAAAUACACAGAUACACACAUUUUAAUACAUUUGCAUUUUGUGUGCUAUAAGGCUGAGGUUUUAGAAACCUUUUUAAGCAAGGAGACCAGGUGAUAUGGACUAUACAAAAACAGACCUCUGGAUAGGACAGACCCCAGAGGGGUUUUGACAGCCUUAACUGAGUAAUGAUGAACUGUUUGCAACAUUAACUGUCACCACAUCAACAACAAUAAUAAAAUGCUUACGCUUGUAACACAGCCCUCCACUGUGAUGAAUCCAUCCCUGAUAGCAGUGAUGUCUUUGAUUGACAGUUUCUGGCUUGGUGGGCAAAUCAUUUUUCUACCCUCCUCCUCUAGACUGGCCGGGACUUCCACAGGGGAGGUGUUAAAUAUGAUGGUGUCUUGGCGUGACAGCAUGGAGCGCCGGACACCGUACUUGGAAACACCAUAGUUUUUAACAAUAUAGCUGCGACCCUCGACUAUUUUAUCUGCCAGGUUUUCAAACAGGAUGAAUUUGGUGACUGACACCCCAUCUGAAACUGCAGCAGUGCAAUUCUUGUGCAGUUUGAGAGGGCGUGCCUCCCCCUCUGUAAAUUCCCAGGCAGCCGCCUUCAUUUGUGUUUGAAGGGCAAUGACUUUGAUCUUCAGGGGUGGUUGCCGCUGGUAAGGAGUAGAACUCUGGGCGAAAAUUGUAUGCAGAGACAUCCUGAAAAUAGAGACAAAUUGUGUUAAUGCCCGUCAAAGUGCUCAUUAAACAUGUUUAAGUUGCUUACAUCAGCAUUCACAUUGGAAUAUGAGUUUCCUGUUAAACUGACCAGGGCUGAGAAUUUUUACCCAGGACAACAGCACAGUAGGAGGGCUAAAACUGUUUUAAAUAUUACCUUUACUGUAAAUCUAUUACUUGUCUUAAAGACUGUAGUUUGUACCCUGUGUCAAUAGUUGGCGGUAAUGUGCCGGCAAGCUGUUUGCCAACCACCAAUAACACCAAAUAAACUACAUAUCCAAUCAUCCGGUCGAUGAAGAAGAGGAAGAUAGUAAACAUGGCUGUCGGGACGAAGUUUUUGUGCAUGUCACGGAGAGGAUAUAUUCAAAAACAAUUUAAAUGCGGGGAUAGAGGUAAGGUCAUUAAACCUGUUAGUUGCGUUGGUAGCGGUUAUAUAAAAGCAAUGAGAUGAAGUCAGUAUAAAUGCCAUUUUUGUUAGUAUUUGUCAGUUGUUCCGUUUUCAUAGACUACAAAGUAGCCGUUACAGUACAUUAGCAUAUUAACCUUACAGUACAAAGUAGCUAACUUAACGUCUGAUAACUAUCAGAAUAUCGGAUACACAGGGCCGUACUCUUUCAAUUACACUGGAGUUAUCAUAAUGUACAUUACACGUUUGUUACUUUUUACUAAAUUCAAUGUUUUUCUGUGGCUGUUGGCGCAACAUUGUAACCUGUAAGUAAGACGGCAUGAAACCCCUACUGGAUUUAAACUGUCAUUUCAUGUUCAAAGUUGUACAUUAAUCCACAUGAGUAAAUUCAUUGCAUCUUCUAUCAGUCUCUAUGGCAGGUGCUGCUUUGAGAGAGUCUUACUGUCCAUAGUGGUCAGUAUGACUCUCUCAAAGCAGCACCUGCCAUAGGAAUCAGGUAAGUACAUCAGGUACCUAUGUUAUUGAUGUUAUACACUGUGGCUGCGUGACUGACCUGGGAUGAGACAGCUCUAAACUUCACUAAAUAUGUCUAAUUUUCAGCAUCUUUGACUUUUCCACACAGCAACCAGUAGUGUGAUAUUUGAGUUUGUUAUCUGUAACACUGGUGUAACUGUUGUCUUUUCUCUCAACUCAUCACAGAAUCAGCUGGACAUAAGCCACAGAGCCAAACCCAGCAACCUGCAACCUUGGAGCCAUGUGAUCCCUGCUGAGCUUUGAACACCCCUCUGCAACCUUAUGGUCUUUAAGUAGCUCACAUCUUUCUGUAAAUAGAGGGUAUACAGUUUUUGAAUGUUUUUUUUUCCUUUGGUGUUUAAGUACCUCCUGUUUAACCAUGUCAGUUUAUUUGGCUUGUUGCGACAUCUACUAUUUAUCUCUACAGAAAGCGCCGCUUUGACUCUGCACCAGGGAAAAUGGAGCUCUUUUAUGCAUUAAGUAUCAGGACUAAACAGCCUCAGGUCAGAAGUGGAGAAACUACCCACAGAGACCAGAACUCCUCACUGCCCUCUUCACCUGCACCAGGUCUGUGAUAUUCUGAUAUGAAAAUGUGAAUCAGUAACAGGAGUGACUGCAAGUUUCAAUCAUGUGCCAUGCUCAGUGCUUCGAUUAGGUGAAGUUGGACCCAUUAUGAUAGCAGCAUCAUUCUGACAAGAAUCAACAUUACUCCACUGAAGCAGGACCCAAGCAUGCUGUAAAAAUUCUGGCAUUCUCAUCUUUCAGCACAUUAAUACUUUGCCAUAUUCCUGCAACAUGUCACUGAGCCACUCAAAGCCAAGCUUCCAGUCUGAGAAGGAGGUGCUGUUCAGAGGAGCAACAACUUGCUUCUCCCCACAUGCAGGACAUUAACCUGGUAAGUAUCCCUCUCUAGUCACCACACCAAUUGUUUGUAUUUUGUUUUUGGUCAGCUGUAUCACUGGUGUCACACCUUUGUCAACUCUCGCCUCUUCAGAUCCAGCUCAGCGGGAGUCAAAGUACCAAGCACAGCAAACAGACAACCCUGCAGCCAUGUGAGCUCUGCUGGGCGUCCAUCACUUCUUGAGCUGCAGCCCAACAAGAAUAAAGAUCAGCCCACCUGCUGCCUGUUUUAUCUGGCAGAUAAGUCAAGACCAAGCAUCCAUGGGACUCUUUUCUCUCCAUUCCCAUCACCCCAUCUAAGAACCAGGGUUCAGAACCCACCUGAGAAGCCCCCACCCACAAUGUAACACUAGAGAAUGCAAUUUCUGAAAGAAUUACUCUUGCUGAUUUAACUGACUCUGAACUGUGAUUGUUCAUGGCUGAAUAUUGAAGAUGGUUCGAAACAGAAAUUUCUCAUCACGUAGUUAUUGUCUCUCGUGUAUUUAUUGUCACUGAGACGGUAUGGGUUUUAUAUUAUUCAUAUUGUAGUUUCUACUUGGUUUUAUCCUUUUAUCAUUUUCAGGACCUCCAGUGUUUCCUCUGGUGGAGCCCUUGGCACCAGGAGCAGUGAUCGGCAGUGGUCACAGGGGCGAGUCAUGGGGUUCCUGGUGGAGGUUGGUGUCUGCCACAUCUCUCCUCUCGCCCUGCGUCCUGUGGCUAUGGGUGGCUCUCUGCUCCUGGUGCUGAUGGCUCUCUGAUGGUGCUGGUUCAUCUGUACUCUGCCUCAUGUUCACUGUCUUAGCGUCCAAACGUAUGGCUGCAUUACUGUGUGUGUGUGUGUGUGUGUGUGUGUGUGUGUGUGUGUGUGUGUGUCUGGCUUUAGGUGAGACUGUGUAUGUGACUGUUAACUGUGGGUUGUAUUGUUGUGUGGCAUGUGUUAGGGGGUGCAUUUAGGAUUGUUUUAGGUUUCUCAACAAACUGUAAAGUACUUUGUGUUAUGUUCUUUUGUAUGAAUAGCG